GAUGAACGCUGACAGAAUGCUUAACACAUCAGCGAUUGACUGGUGGCGGACGGGUGAGUAACGCGUAAAUAACUUGCCUCACAGCUAGGGACAACAUUUGGAAACGAAUGCUAAUACCUAAUCCUGUGAGAGAGCUUUGCGUCCCAUUAGCUAGUUGGAGAGGUAACGGCUCACCACGGCGAGGAUGGGUAGCCGGCCUGGGAGGGUGAUCGGCCACAGGGGGACACGGGAAGGGCCAGUACUCAAAAGGGAGGAAGCAGUGGGGAAUAGUGGACAAUGGACCAAAGUAUGAUCCAGCAAUUCGGUGUGCAAGAUGAAGUUUUCGGAAUGUAAAGGGCUUUCUGUUGGGAAGCGGUACCAACAGAAGAAGUGACGGCUAAAUACGUGCCAGCAGCCGCGGUAAUAC
rnacentral:rRNA from 1 species